rnacentral:sRNA from 1 species
CGGUGUCUUUCUAAUAACAAUGGAGUUACACACGAAGAGCCGUAAUGCACUGCUAAGACUACUUCAGUAUGAAUGGGAAGGUUCAUACCCUUAGUGGAAACAUCUGAAGGGUUUCUUCAGCGGUGUAGCCUCUGAGUUUCCAGGAAAGGUAACUGGAAAGAUUGGGAAGCAGAAUGUGAAGAUGUCAUGAAGAUGUGAAAGAAAUACAGCCGAGUCUCAAAGGGCUGAUUAACAUUCUGCAGUGGACCCAGAUAUAAAUUGAUUUGGCUACAGCCUUUUUUUUUUUUUGACAAAGAUGACAAAAAUAUAAAUCAGUUCUGAGUAAACUGGAUAUCAAAAUCAAAAGAAUGAA